UUUUCAUUGAUAUUAUGAUGAGUAUGGCCUGCCCGGUGAUAUAAUAUAUUAAACGGCCGCGGUAUUUUGACCGUGCAAAGGUAGCAUAAUCAUUUGCUUUUUAAAUGGAAGCUGGAAUGAAUGGUUUUACGGAAAUGUUCUUUCUUUUUUAUUUGAGAAAAGUUUAGGUUUUUGUGAGGACGCAAAGAUGUGAAUAUUAGACGAGAAGACCCUAUCAAGCUUUAUAGUGAGCUUUAUCAAAAUAUUAUUUUGUUUAAGUUAUUAUUUUGUUGGGGCAACAGACAUUGGUUUUAUUUGUUUUGUAUUUUAUUUAUUUGGAUCCAUUUAUUUAUGAUAAUAAUAUUAAGUUACUGUAGGGAUAACAGCUUAAUUAUAUUGGAGAGCUCUAAUUGAUAAUAUAGUUUGUGACCUCGAUGUUGAAUCAAGGUGUCUAUGUUCCGCAGAUGGAAUAUUAGAAAGUCUGUUCGACUUUUGAUUCCUUACG
rnacentral:rRNA from 1 species